UGCAAGUCGCGCGACAAGCCAUUUUUAGCUUGCUAUUUAUGGUGGAGGAGCGGCGAAAGGGAGAGUAACGCGUGGAUCACCUACCCAAGGGUGCGGAAUAGCGGUUGGAAACGACCGGUAAUGCCGCAUAACGUCUCCGGACCAAAGCCCCGGCGCCUUUGGACGGGUCCGCGUACCAUUAGCUUGUUGGUGGGGUAAAAGCCUACCAAGGCUGAGAUGGUUAGUGGGCGUGAGAGCGUGGCCCACCUCACUGGGACUGAGACACUGCCCAGACACCUACGGGUGGCUGCAGUCGAGAAUCUUUGUCAAUGGACGCAAGUCUGAACAAGCGAUGCCGCGUGCGGGAUGAAGGCCUUCGGGUUGUAAACCGCUGUCAGAGGGGAGCAAAUUUUGAGCGAUCCUCAGAGGAAGCCCGGGCUAAGUUCGUGCCAGCAGCCGCGGUAACACGAACCGGGCAAACGUUAUUCGGAAUCACUGGGCUUAAAGGGUGCGUAGGCGGCGCUAUAAGUCGGGUGUGAAAUCCCACGGCCCAACCGUGGAACUGCGCCCGAUACUGUAGUGCUUGAGGGAGAUAGAGGUGAGCGGAACGAAUGGUGGAGCGGUGAAAUGCGUUGAUAUCAUUCGGAACACCCGUGGCGAAAGCGGCUCACUGGGUCUCUUCUGACGCU
rnacentral:rRNA from 1 species